rnacentral:lncRNA from 15 species
GAUCACAUGUUUUAUAUGUGAAAUCAAAGUAAGUAGCUCUAUCUGUCAAAUGUAGUGCAGUAAAAAGUGGAAUAUUUCCCUCUGAAAUGUAGUGAAGUUGAAGUAUAAAGCAGCAUCAAAUGGAAAUACUCAGUAAAGUAGCUCAGAAUUGUACUUUUACUGCUCAGUGAAGCAGAAAGCGAGCUAAGCUGCACAUUCAGCUGAAUGGGUGAUAUUUGAUUUGAACAAAGCUCAUCAAUAUGAGCUGUAACAACAACCAUGAUCAAAUAAAGAUGUGUUUAUAAGACGUAAUCCAGAGUCCAUCACAGCCUGGGCUCAGGGUGUAGAGAACUGGGCUGUACACACAUUGUCACACACAUUUGCAGAUCUCAGGCACAGCAGCAGUUUAACACAAGUCCCAUGGAAACAGUGUGAAGUAGAGGAGGCAGGACAGUGAUUCAAACAGUCUUCUACUGAUGAGCAGCACGUCUCAGAAACAGGACGAUGCUACAACAUCACCCUCCUCACUACUGUGAGCAGAACCACAACCAAGCUCUCAGCUGUGGACAUUUCAGGAGCAUACACACCUUUAGUUGUUGUUUGUGUGGCUGAUGUCCAAUCUGCUGUGUGUGAUAUACACUUACAUUCUGAGUGUCACAUUCACUCUCUGUCAUCUGUUUCAGAGUCCACUGGAUUGGUUGUUGGUGUUUUAGUUGCAGUUGUCAUCUCUCUUAUUGUUGGUGGUUGUGUUGGUUUUGUUCUAGCUAAGAGGAAGAUGAGAGGAGCGAGAACCCCUGUAUGACUCCAAUACAACAACACCAUUCAGGGAAUCUGAUCCAGAAUCGUAACUAUCUCUCCGUGUGCUGUGCAGUUGUCUGCUCCAGUGUGUGUGUGCUGUAGCAGUUAAACUUUGUGAGAAUCACUUUGAGUUUUAGACCAUACUGUAUGAUAGUGAGGACAUUUUGGUUGCUCCUCACUUUAAUGGUUAAGACCUGGUUUUAAGGUUAAAGUUUCAUUAGUUUCAGGUUCAUUCUGUUAAUGAGAAUUGAAUGAAUAGUUUGUGUUGAACUCUGAUAUUUGCUGUGAUUGAGUUCCACUCUUGUGCAGCUUUAAGAGAACAAAUAUUGACUAAACACACUUUUACUCUGUUUUUAAUGUGGUUGAGGACAAAGACGACUUCUUGCACUCUCUUCUGUUGCUUUUAUUCUUUUCUUUUUUAGAUGAAUUUCAUUCCAGGCAGCAUAAUGUAAAGUCCUAAUCAAACUGCCCACUGGACUCUUGUUGAGGACAUUAUGCUGUAGCACCUCGAUGAAUAAGACGGAGCUACACAGAAACAAACUAAUGUGAUAAAUAAUGAGACAGCAAAGCAGGAUAAUAGAACAAGUAAUGACAUCAAAUAAAGUAACACACAGCAGAAUUCAAAUGGACCAAGUUAAAAAGGGACCUGAUUAAAGUCAACUUCUGAUAAAAGAGAAUUUGAUAUCAGUGUUUAAAGCUAAGGGGCUCAGACCAAAAACGCCUCCUGAUGGUCAGAGCAGCACCUUGCAUGGUAGCUCUCUGCCAUCAGUGAGUGAGUGAGUGUGAAUGGAUGAAUGAGGGGCAGAAGUGCAGUAUAAACACUGUCUAUUUACCAAUAUUAUCAGACUGCUUGUAGUUGUUAAAGGUCCUAACUGAGCUACACAUGG